AACUUCACUCACAAAUUCUCCUCUUUUUUUGCUGGUACCUAGGGCAAACACGAUCUCUCUCCACGAUGUUUGUUUUGCACAGUACAGUCGUUCUCUUACGAUUAGAAGUUCUCAACCUCUCACAAUUGCAAGUCCACCCAAAAAUUUGUCGACCAUUAGGUUUAUGCCAUUUGUUGUUGCUAUGCUACCCCAUCGCUGCUUCAUUCUGGCUCGGUUGUUGAAGAUGGAUAUUAUGAUCUUGCGCAAGUGCUGAUUGGAUAUGAGUAGCAGGCUUAUUCACUUUGCAUAUUCACGUGGAUAUUGUUCAAAUUGGGAUUGAUUCGAAAAACAUCAAUUUUCAUGCAUGAAUCACAUCUAUACAUAUAUUCAUGCACAAAUAAUACGAGAACACCCAACAAUGGCUCUGAUACCAAUGUAGGAAAGAUAAUAUAGUGAAAAUAAACGGAUUCAGGCAUGCCUUUUAAGCUCAAA